GACGAACGCUGGCGGCGUGCCUAAUACAUGCAAGUCGAACGCAGUGGGGACGGGUGAGUAACACGUGGGUAACCUCCCAUCAGACGGGCUCACACUUGGAAACUGGUGCUAAACCGAUACUGAUGUAUGGACCCGCUGUGCAUGAGCUAGUUGGUGAGGUAACGGCUCACCAAGGCCACGAUGCAUAGCCGACCUGAUAGGGUGAACGGCCACACAUGUACUGAGACACGGCCCAGACUCCUACGGGAGGCAGAAGGAGUGAAUGGUCGGCAAUGUACGAAAGUCUGCCCGAGAAACGCCGCGUGAGUGAAGAAGGUUUUCGGAUCGUAAAACUCUGUUGUUAGAGAAGCGGUAUCUAACCAGAAAGCCACGGCUAACUACGUGCCAGCCGCCGCGGUAAUUC
rnacentral:rRNA from 1 species